GACGGAGGGUGCUAGCGUUGUUCGGAAUUACUGGGCGUAAAGGGCGCGUAGGCGGCCGCUUGCGUCGGAUGUGAAAGCCCGGGGCUCAACCCCGGAACGGCAUCCGAUACGGGGCGGCUCGAGACCGGGAGAGGAGGGUGGAAUACCCAGUGUAGAGGUGAAAUUCGUAGAUAUUGGGUGGAACACCGGUGGCGAAAGCGGCUCUCUGGCCCGGUUCUGACGCUGAGACGCGAAAGCGUGGGUAGCAAACAGG
rnacentral:rRNA from 1 species